AUAAUACACAGAUCAUGUAAGGUAAGGUGUUGUUUUUGUCCAAACUUAAAUAGUUUUUUAAUAUAUACAUUUUAAAAUAUGAUUGAUUGAUGGUUGCUGAACGUCCAGUGGCAAAUAUUUCAUGCAUGUUCAGGACAAGAACAAGUUCACAAUAAAUACAAUAGAUAGGAUAGUAACAAAAGAGGUCAUCUGGGAUGAAGGCUGGGGAAAUUUGGAAAUGAGCAAAGAGCUAAAAGCUAAAGCUAAAUAGCCCCUCCCCAUUCCUUAAACAAAGAAUAACAUAAAUGUCAUCAAAUGUUUUGAAAAAAACAUAUACUGUUUCAAAUCGUUACCACGGAUAUUUCGUAUCGUCACAACUGUCGUUUGCAACUAGUUGAAUGUUUUACUGUUUAAAAAAUGCCAUUAACGUUCAACGUGACAGUUAAAAACAAAUACGAAAUUGUAUUUGCUUCAAUAUAAACUAAGCUUGUGGACACUUGUAUUUAAAAUAAUCCAUGAUUAUGUACUUUAAAUAGUUAUGCGUAAAUGCCUGCUCACUACGAAAAGAGACCAACAACAAUUACUUGCAUAAAAGAGGGACGAAAGAUACCAGAGGAACAGUCAAACUCAUAAAUCGAAAGUAAACUGAGAACGUCAUGGCUAAAAAUGAAAAAGACCAUCAGAUAAAUAAUAGUACACAAGAUACAAUAUUAAAAAAUUAGACUGGAAACCAAACACAGGCAUAGGCGGAUUUAGGGGGGGUGGGGGCAGGGGGCCCGCCCCCCCUUUUUGGGAAAAAUUUUGGUUGCUUAUAUAGGGAAUCACUGAAGCGUGACUGGAGCGGGUCCCCUCUUAGGUCAUUGAGUUGGCCCCUACUUGUUAAAAUUUCUAAAUCCGCCACUGACAGGGGUGAUAUCAGGGGCUCCGGAAGGGUAAGCAGAUCCUGCUCCACAUGUGGCACCCGUCGUGAUGCUUAUGUUAUACAAACCAGGUAAAUAGUCGGUAGGCCACGUUCAUGAAAAGGGAAGGGGAUUGUAGUUAGUUUCAGUGAAAGUCAUAAUUCAACAACCCAUAAGGUGACUGGAGAAUAGGAAUACUAUUGGUCUUCAUUCGCAAGCAGUAAAAUCCUUACUAUAAUAUGGUGUCAAUCCAGCUGUGAGGUCAUGUAUAAAACCAGUCAGAAAGGGGAAUUUCAUUUAAUCCAAUGCCUCGUUAAGAGCGAGUUUUUAUGCUAUCUACACGUUAAGAACCCUUGCAACAACUCUUAGAACUGUCCCUAUCCAUGAUACACUCAUUUUCAUGUGGCAAUACUAACUAUCCGAAUCUUAUCCCAGACGGUCCCUAUUACUGGUAUUUUUAUUGUUAUCUUGUUUACAAUAGAAUGUGUAUGACAUAUUUGCCACUGUACUUUAAGCAAUCAAUCACUUAAAAUGUUACUGGCUUCUCCUAACGGGAAGGAUUGUGCCUGAUGUUCAUAUGAUGAAAUCAUAAUCUUUCAGUCAGUUUAGUUGAAGUCUGGAGCUGGCAUGUCAGUUAACUGCUAGUAGUCUGUUGUUAUUUAUGUAUUAUUGUCAUUUUGUUUAUUUUCUUUGGUUACAUCUUCUGACAUCAGACUCGGAUUUCUCUUGAACUGAAUUUUAAUGUGCGUAUUGUUAUGCGUUUACUUUACUACAUUGGUUAGAGGUAUAGGGGAGGGUUGAGAUCUCACAAACAUGUUUAACCCCGCCGCGCAUUUUUGCGCCUGUCCCAAGUCAGGAGCCUCUGGCCUUUGUUAGUCUUGUAUUAUUUUAAUUUUAGUUUCUUGUGUACAAUUUGGAAAUUAGUAUGGCGUUCAUUAUCACUGGACUAGUAUAUAUUUGUUUAGGGGCCAGCUGAAGGACGCCUCCGGUUGCGGGAAUUUCUCGCUACAUUGAAGACCUGUUGGUGACCCUCUGCUGUUGUUUUUUAUUUGGGCGGGUUGUUGUCUCUUUGACACAUUCCCCAUUUCCAUUCUCAAUUUUAUUCUCGUACAUAAAAUAUCGUUAUUUUUGUUAUGAUGUAGUAUUUGCAUGUAUAAUAUCUGUCUAAAUAUAAUUUAUUUAUACUUUGCUUCAAUGCAAUAUUCAAGUACAGUAUCUGCCUCAAUACAACAUUCAAGAAGAAUAUCUUUAUUAAUACAUGUUUUUUUUUUAUUACUGAUAGGAUUCUUGGUCUUCGGUUUAUUGAUUUUGAGUCUUAUCUAUUAUUCAUGAACGGUACAGACCUUUCACCAUUUUCGCCUUUGAAUUGCUUUACAUUUGUUCUUUCGCCUUAUAUAUAGCUGACUAUGAGGUAUGCAUUUUACUCAUUGUCGAAGGCCGUACGGUGACCUACAAUUGUUAACUACUGUGUCAUUUGGUUUUUUAUGGAUAUUAUUCUCAUCAACCUACAUCUUCUUAUUUUCAUAAGAUAUUUAUAUAUAACCGCAUAACAUCAAUUUUGUUUUAAUAUUUUUGUUUUUAUAUUUUAUGAAAAUUCAAUUUUUGCAAAGUGCAUUCCCUUAAUAUAUUCUUUUUUUUUCAAGAAAUUUGGAUAUAAUAAACAAAAUAUGACUCUCUAACAAAACAUGACUGUUUUACAACUUACUUAAGAUUUUUUUUUAAGAGAAGAUGGUAGUUAAUAGAUUGUCGAAAUAACAAAGAAAAGAAAAACAUCUAAAUCGUCAACUCAUAGGUGUCAAUCAAAUAUAGGCAUGACAAUCGUCUGAAAAAAAUGAGUUAAAACAUGAUCACUGACAUUGAUUUUAUAUUGAUGUUGUGACUAUGUUCCAGACCAUAUGAAUAUUUGGACCGUACGCGUACGGUCCGGACCGUAUACGUAUACUCGUACGGUCCGACCAUACGCGUACGGUCGGACCGUAUGAGUAUACGCGUACGGUCCAGCUGAUGUUUUGGGAUCUUAUGGGUUAAAUUUAAACAAACAUUUAACAAAAUCUUUAUUUUUAGUUAUACAAAUUGUUAUUAUUACAUGUAUAUGGAUAAAAUGAUUAAGCGAACAAUUGAAAUUAAAUGUGUGUUUAUUUGUAUAUCCGUGAAUCCUAUUUUGGUACUCAAGGUAACACUGACUUCCACAAAGAACGUCAUAUUUUUUUUUAUAGUAACAUAAUUGUUCAUGCACGUUCCUAAAUAUUCUAAAACGAUUGUCCUCCCACUCUAAGUUUACUUCCGAUAACUUCAAUUCCAAUGAGCAUACUUGGCUUCAAUUUAUGAAUUACUGACAUGCUAAAUACAGGAGAUUAACAGAUUAAAUAAACGUGAUUUUUUUAAAUAGUUAUAAUAUAUUUUUUUUUUAUUUCAAUUACUAUUGUAAUUUUUACAUUAAUUUGAGAUAUAAGUUAUGUUGAUCUGUUAUAUACAUUUGUAUCUGAUAAACGUGACCAACUUCUUAAUAUUAGUCAGACCGUACGCGUACGUCGACCUAGCGUAUUUUGAAAAUGUACGCAUACGGUCCAGACCGUACGCGUACGGUCCAAAUACUCAUACGGUCUGGAACAACUACAUGUGGUCACUUUUCAUACGAAUGGUCUAUGACAAAUAGUUGAGAAUUAUAAUAAAGACAUGUAACAUAACGUGGUAUCUGAAGGCAGCAACAUGACACACGUAGUUUCAAUUCAAUACCGAAAUAUAACGGCCUUUGUACAACACAAGAAACGAAAACCAUAUGAUAUACUGCAACUAACGACAAGCACUAAAUCACAUGCAUCUUUGGACAGGUAUUCACAGAAAUAAACAUGUUUGAGGACACUUAUCUGUAAUUCCAACAAAAAAUAGAAACUUUUGACCUAUGCCUAUAACUAACAAUUCUGAAAAUAUUCAAUCUCAAGGGAAAUCGGUGCAACUAUUUUUACGAAAAUAAGAUGAUUUGAUUUUCUUUAUUUUCAUGAUUUGAAAUAAACUGACCUGAGACCCAGAAGAAAUAUCUUGGAGAUGUACAAGUGUAACUAUUUUCACCUUCGAAAUCUGUAUUUAAAUAAUGUCUUUCAAUAUCAAAACUACAUAUGACUGACAAUGAUAAAAUUCGAACUGAGAUAACCAAUAAAUGAAUGUUUGUUUAUGGGUGUAAGUCUGUCUAAUUCAAUGUAAACCGAUAAUCUGUAAGACCUUUACACAAAGAUUGAUAAUUUAUCUUUAUUUACACAAACAAUUUUAUAAAAAGGAAUUUUGAAUAAAUGAUAUGCACGUAAUAGUCGCAAUUCUUGCUCUUGUGUGAGAUAAGUUUCCUAUUAUAUAAUAAAUAUUUCGACUGGACAAGGAUUUCGUAAGUUACUUUAUAUUGUGAUUUAAAUUAUUGACAUUGCUUUGUGAUACAAGCUGGCAUUACAUUUUGUUUGUUUUAGCUUGAUUUGACUUCUUACGUGUUGGAAUACAUCUUUUAGUCUUUCAAUACAACAGGUAAAUAAGUGUAUCGGAUAUUUCUGUAUCCAAUUCAGCAGUGACGGAUCCCGGGGGAUUUCUGGGAUUGGGACCCUCGUUUUUAUGAUCAAUGUAUUUAAAAGGGGACAUAUGGUUGGACCACUCCCCCUUUUGUCCUGGGUUGGGUACCCCUUUUAAAAAAAUAGUAGGAUCCGCCCCAGUUUUUUUUUCAACAAGAUGCUCUAACGAUUGAAUUAUAAAAUUCGAUGUAAAUAACAUUUUAUAUCAUUUGUCAUAAUUGAACAAGUCGAACAUUGAAAAAGAAAGGAUAGAGCUUGGAUUGGUUACAACUGAAAUCACAUAGAUUACAAUACAGAAAUAAAUGUUUGAAAUAAUCACAACUUAAAAAAAAUAUAUAUACAUGUAGAUACGUUCAUUCCAUAACUACCUUUUUUUAAGAAGCACACUAUUGGAAAGGAAAGAAAGGGGUGUUUCGAUUCAUAACAAAAAAUGAUCUUUAUUAUUUUAUAGUUAGAACAAAUUCUUUCACGUUUGAAUUACAGCAAUGGUUUCAAGUCUUCUUCAUGUAGUAGCAGUUUCAUUUGUCAUUUUGACUUUUCCAAUAAAAGGUAGGUACAUGUAGAUAACAAUUUUGAAACUAUUUUUUGUUUAAACAGUAAAUCUGAUUGACAUUAAUUGAUUGAUAGUUAUUGUUCUCAAUGUCCAGUGGCAAAUAUUGCAAACAAAAGGACGGGUUCACAUUAAAAAUACAUGUAAACGAAUAGCAUCUGUAUAUACUUUUGUUAGAUAAAGGCGAUAUAUUAAGAGUACAAUUCGAAAAGUGGGCUACAAUAUCAUGCAGCAGAUUAGCUGCAGACCCUCAAAAGGAUAUAAUUGAUAAGCUUGAAAUCGAGUACACAAUAUACCACUAUCAUACACGACCCUCUUUGAAUUGUUUCUCUAUAGUAAUAACACAUUCAAAUGCCCCAUCUUUCAUAGUAACGGAAUACACAUUUUUCUGGUAUGAGGGCGCCAGCUGAAGCCCACCCCGGGUGUGGGAUUUCUCUUGCUGCGUUGAAGACCUAGUUGUGGCUUUUGGCUAUUGUCUGCAUUUGGUCGGUUUGUUUUAUCUUUGACAUAUUCCCCAUUUCUAUUCUCAAUUUUAUUUAAAAGCUUUUCAAAAAGCUAAUGAAUUGUCUAAUGUAUGAUAUCUAAAGCAAGUAACAGUACUGUAUCGGGGUAUAGAUUGGAUACAGUAUAUAGUUUAUUUUAGACAAAACAUACAGAAUGAAAUGCACAAAAUUUACAGAAUAGAGGAAAAUUGGCAAAUUAAACAAUAACGAAUGGAAACUAUUGGGUGAUAAAAUAUAAAUAAUACAGAACGUAAGGCAACAUAUACGAAGAAUACAGAAAACAUUUUAGAAAGGUGAACAAUGACCAACGAAUAUAUCGUAUAGAGAAAAAUGACGUUGAAAAGUAAAACAAAUAAUGAUCCUCUGGUAUAACUGAUGUUGAACUCAUUAUUAUCUAAUUUUACAGUGGAAUCAACUUGUAGUAAGUUUUGGAUUAACGGUGCGAUAAUCAUAACCAAGGCAAACACAGAUAAACUUACGGGCAAUGUAACCAGCAGUCCUGGACCAUUUCCGGUAAAAACUGUUGUAAAGCUAAACUGUGCUAGUCCGUCAAAAAAGAUUAAUGGUUCCAGUAUAUCUAGAUGUUUAGCAAACGAAACUUGGGAUAAUAUACCUACAUGUGUUCUUCG
rnacentral:lncRNA from 1 species